rnacentral:rRNA from 1 species
UGAGGGAAUAUUUGGGGUCAAUGGGCGAGAGCCUGAACCAGCCAAGUAGCGUGCAGGAUGACGGCCCUAUGGGUUGUAAACUGCUUUUAUAAGGGAAUAAAGUGGGUCUCGUGAGACUUUUUGCAUGUACCUUAUGAAUAAGGACCGGCUAAUUCCGUGCCAGCAGCCGCGGUAAUACGGAAGGUCCGGGCGCUAUCCGGAUUUAUUGGGUUUAAAGGGAGCGUAGGCCGGAGAUUAAGCGUGUUGUGAAAUGUAGUGGCUCAACCUCUGCACUGCAGCGCGAACUGGUCUUCUUGAGUACGCACAACGUGGGCGGAAUUCGUGGUGUAGCGGUGAAAUGCUUAGAUAUCACGAAGAAC